UACGUAGGGGGCGAGCGUUGUCCGGGAUCAUUGGGCGUAAAGCGCGUGUAGGCGGUCCGGUAAGUCCGCUGUGAAAGUCGGGGGCUCAACCCUCGGAUGCCGGUGGAUACUGUCGGGCUUGAGUACGGAAGAGGCGAGUGGAAUUCCUGGUGUAGCGGUGAAAUGCGCAGAUAUCAGGAGGAACACCAAUUGCGAAGGCAGCUCGCUGGGACGUUACUGACGCUGAGACGCGAAAGCGUGGGGAGCAAACAGG
rnacentral:rRNA from 1 species